GCCUCUACUUCGUAUUACGGGUUGGUAUCACUCACGUUGCCGGAAGUAAAAGGGAGUGUUACCUAACCUCCAUGGAGAACCAAGAAGCUGAAUAAUGUUGGCCCUAAUACGACGAGUAAAAGAACGUGGGCCGUAGAAGCUUAUGACUUGGGUUAACAGGUGGAACAUGAACGACGUCUGGUACGUCGACACCAGUAUUGACUAACAUGUAGCAAGGUCGUCAGAAGAACCCUAAUGACAAGGCGUCUUUCGGCUAGUGCAGAGGAGAAAAAUGCGGUAUAUAUACAUAAUGAGCCAACGUGGCAUCAUUUUGUUCUAUGACAACAUUGCUACCUACGACCACAUAACUCAUAAAUGGACCGGAUUCUGAGCCUCGUGAUACGGUUUGAACAUUGCAACUUACGACCAGAGAUACAUUGCUAGAAUGAUGAUAAGUGUUCCCGUACUCGUUCCACGACUCGUAGAUGUAUACGGGUUUGGCCACGGAUUUAUCACUC
rnacentral:rRNA from 1 species